GAGGGAAGUGAUCUGGUGGGUUGGCACCGCUAUGGUGACGUAGAGAUUGGUUUGAGAGAGGAGUGUUAGACUCUCUGGAUCGGCGUCGUAGAGCUUGACAUGACCGGCUUUGAUGAGUUUGAUGAAAUUGAUCGAUUGGUAAGGAGAUGGUAGGUUGUUUCCUUGUCUACCAUAGUUAAUACCAAUCUUGCUGGCUAACUCUAGCAUCGUUUUUUUCUGUAUAUACCUGUGCGGAUGUUGGAACCCAACCGCUGAGCAACUUGUACCUGUAAAAUCAAGAAAAUUAUGUUCAAUAUGAAUCUAAAAUGUAAGCAUCAUGGUGCACUUUGCAUAUGAUUCUUUGAUGGAGAAGAUGGCUUACUUGAAAAGACGACGAGGGUGAAGAGGAAGAAAGCAAGAAGAGACAUGUCUUUUUGUGUUUGGUUCGCAGUGUGUUAAUUGUGAUCAGAUUGUGGUAUGAGUAGGAAAAUGAGUAGGAAUGGUGUGAAAUUGGAGAUGAUGCAUCGAGGUAUUAAGUAGGAGUAUGGUGAAAGUUUAGUGGUGUAAAGAUAAUACAUUUAUAUUGAGUCAUGCAAGCGUAGCUUUUUUUUUUUGGCUUUUGGUUUCUUUUGAAACUAUAUCAUAAUUCUUUUGUGCUAUGAUUUUUAAAGAUUGUUGGUUAGAUGGUUCAUAUUGAACCACUCUUUUCCUGAUUUAUAACUUCAUCGUUUUACAUGUUGCGAGUUUUGUAAUGGUGACUGUAGAUUAGAAAAGUACUUCAACUAUAUAAAAGACUUUUUUGUACAUUGAGUUGAGAAGACUAAUGAAAAUCCUAUAUAUAAUCUUAACUGAACGGGACUCUCUAGGUCGAAAAACAAAGCCCUUUAUUAUGAACUACAAGUUUUGCCCUCAAAUUCAGACAUAAUCUUUUUAAGAAUAUCUUUUAUUUGGUUUUGUGUUUGAAGUUUGUUUAAAUUAUCAGGUUCAGAUAUCACUUUGUUAUUAUUUUGUCUUCUUUCAUUUAUUAAUGCCUUUUCCCAGUAAUAUUUUUUUAUAAUGAAUGUUAAAUAUUUUAAAAGAUGGAAACUCAUAUGUAGCUACUUGUGAAAAUGAUGUCAUCUACGUACACAAGCACCACAACGUAAUCAUCUUUUCUUCUGCGUACAAACAAAGAAUGAUCACCAUGAUCUUUAGUCAAUUCCAAAUCCAAAAGAGCAGAAGAAAACUUUCUAAACCACUGAAACUUGUUUUAACCCACAUAUAGAUUUCUUGAAUCGUAAAACAGCUCUUGGUGAUAGAGUAAUGCCUUUUCUCUCGGCAUCCUUAUGGUAUCUUCAUGAGGAUUUCUUCAUCUAAAUCCGCAUUCAAAAACGCAUUAGAAAUGUCACGUUGAGUAAGAGACCAUUUCUUAGUUGCGGAAACUUUGAGAAGAAGUUUGACUUUUGCCAUUUUAGCUACAUGGGAAAAGAUUUCAUUGUAAUGCUGACUCUCUUUCUGCAUAUAUUCUUGUGUCUCUCAAGAGUUCCAUUAGCGUUGAAUUUUAAAGUAUAAAGACACAUACAACCUGCAUAUUUCUUUACAAUAGGAAGACUAGUAACAUCCCAUAUUUUUGUUGAUUUCAUAGCUUUAAUUUCAACAUCCACUGCUUCACACCAUUUCUUGGAUUUCUGAGCCUCAAAAAAUGAAGUAGGAAUAGAAAUUUAUGUAAGGUUGUUUAUGUAAGAAAGGUAUGAAGGAUAUAGUUUUGAGUAUGAAAUACAAGAUGAAAUAGGAUGGUAUAUGAUGCAGCAUCACAUACGACAUUGGCGCCAACUUAGACUAUUCGAAUAUGUCUAAUUUCCGGUUUUAGUUUUCUUAUCGGUUUUCCUUUUUAUUUAAAUUUCCUUUUACAAUUAAGUCAUUGAUAUCCUUUUCCUAUUAGGGUUUGUCUAAAGGAAGGGAUAUAUAAACAAGUUUAGUCUUCAUUGUUUGGAUACGUUUGAUUUUAUAAUAGAAGAGCUUUGCUUUUAUCUCUUGUUUAGAUUCGAUUAAAUUCAAAACAGGAAGUUGGUCUCAAGAAGCUAUCGAGAGAAACUCUUGAUCGAUCCAAGAACAGGUCUCGAAGAACUCUAAAUUCUUAGAUCGACCGUUCACCCAUUCGUACGCUGUGCCAGGUUGGUAUCAGAGCUCUGCUACGCCCCGAAUCCUUCUCAACCCGCUACAAUGGUUCGUAAGACUCGUGCUCAGCAAUACGCUGAUGACGAAGAUAUCUCGGCUACUCAACAAUCUGUUAUUGAGCUCCAGGAACAGAUUGCAGACCUAGCUACCGCCGUCGCUGCAUUAACCGCACGACAAGCUGCACCUGCACUUCCCUCCGCAACGACCAGAUAUCUAUCCAUGAUAACUCCGACGAAGACGACGAGAAUCCAUUCGCUCCUCUUCGACAACCACAAAAACAUCAACGACCUCGACGCCGCAUCAACAAUAGCUCCGAUUCAGAAGAAGAAGCUAACGAGUCAUCAUGGAAAUCCAGCUUCAAGCUCGAGCUCCCAGUAUUCAAUGGCUCCACGAACGCUGAGGAAUUAUUGGAUUGGUUUGUAACGAUAGAAAAAAUUCUCGAGUUUAGAGAAAUUUCAUUGAACCGCUUUGUACCCCUAGUCGCCAUACGCUUCCGUGACCGAGCAGCCGCUUGGUGGUCACAAGUUAAAACGACAAGAGCACGAUUGGGAAAAUCGAAGAUUACUACUUGGGAUAAGCUUAAACGAGAGAUGCAAAAAAAAAUAUCUCCCGUACAACUAUGAUCAACUUAUGUUUCAGAAAUUUCAGAAUCUACGACAAGGCAUUCGAUCCGUCGACGAGUACGCGACAUAAUUUUUUAGAAUGAUCAACCGUGUGGAGAUUCGUGAUACCGAAGAACAACUAACAAUGCGUUUUGUGGGAGGUCUUGGCCAACAAAUCCAACACACUCUGAACCUGUUUCGUCCACAUUCUAUCUCAGAAGCUCAUCAGCAAGCCCUCACGAUAGAAACUCAGAACCGAACCGGUUCUCAAUCUUGGACGGCUCGAAAAACUCGACAGAAUCAAGCUGUUUCUUCAGCUACCCCCGAUAUUGUGCCUCCUAAGUCAGAAACCGCGAUCGUACCUGUCGACCCUUUGAAACAGCAACGCACGGGUGGCUUACGUUGUUUCUCGUGUGGAGAGACCGGUCACCGUCAAGCUUCUUGCCCACAUUGUAACAAACGUGGACUUCUUAUUGAAGAUAUCACGGGUGAUCAAGAACCGACGAAUGACGACGAAGAAAUAGAAACAGAAGAAGAAUUGUACCCAUCUUCAUGUUUUGUAAACAAAAAAAAAUUAUAUAUUUAAUAGUUAUUUGAUGUUUUUCUCAACAUUAAGCCACACGAAACAGAAACCAGAAAAUCUAGAGUGAGUAAAUACGAAUAAUCCAGCUUUGAUCAUCUUAAAUCUCUUUCAGGCGUUCUUGCUCACAGAGUAACGCUCGGGAACUUGCAGCGAUCAUUUCCUGUGAAAAGGCUUUAUUAUUUACAAUAUAUUCCACAAAUACCCUUACACUGUCACAUGAUCCGUGACUAUACAAAGGUUUAUUUAUAUCCAAUUUUGGAGAAAAAUAAAUAAAUGACUCACCAGGGUUAGUCGUGGUCUCAUGAGCCAAUCCAUUAAAGUAACAUUGGACGUUUUGGCUACGGAACUGAGCCCAGUACGAGUUAAGCGCGUAGCUUGCGUGCGAAUAAACAGAGACCGGCUCGUAACAUUCUCUGCCAGGAGCCAAAGCCGCACACGUCGUGUUGCUUCGGGCACAAGCCAUCCUCAAAGCUUCCUCAAGCUCAGCCUCGUUGGCUCCUUCGACCAGUACGCACCACACUUGACCCUUGUAAGGAACGUUAUUGGUCGGUUUAGGCAGAGGGUUAAAACCGGUUAAGGGUUUUUGACCGGUAAAAUCAAUGUCGUAGAUUGGUGUACCGUCCGGAUGCAAGAUUCCCCAAUGUCUUUGUGUUCCCGAACCGGGUUUCUUGUUUUCGUUAAAUAAGGAGAAAACAAAUGUCGGUAUAGGUGAACCGGGUCUAGCUGGUGUACCGAUUGGUGGAGUUGCGGUCAUCUUCUUGAUCAAAUUCCGGUUAUACGUGGCGGCGUUGAAAACGUUAGCUCCGAUUUCGUCGAUGUCGCCGGAGUUAGGCCAUCCGGUUUCAGAGAUUGCGAUACGGAUGUAUGGAUAACCGAGCUUGGUCAUGGCGAAGAUAACCGAAUCCAACAUUUGGUCUACAAGAUUAUGGUAAACCAAACCGGUAUGAGGAUCGGUAUAAGUUGAGUUUCCUUGAAACAGAGCGAAAUCCAACGUGGUGUGAUUAGGGUUUCUUGACCAACGGAAGUAAGGUUGAAGAUUGAUAAAGAAGUAAGAGUUUGUUCCGUUGAGAAACUUCAGCAACGGCAACAUUAACGGUAAGGCGAUAUCUCCCCGGAAUGUUGAGUUCGACGGCGGAAACGUUGAUCGAAGAGAAUCCAUAGCUAAAGGUGUACCGACUUUGAUGUUGUGAAUCCCAUGGGCUCUGAGAGAGUUCACGAUUUUUCGCAUUGCCGGUACGACAUUGCCGGUUAUGUUCCUAUCUUUGACGGAGAGGAUUUCGUUUCCAACAAGGACAAAUCGUAUUUGUGUUUGUGGGUAGUAAGGGAGGAUAUUGGUUUUGACCCAAUCUUCAGCUGUAGUUUGGUUGGCGCUGAGGGAAGUGAUCUGGUGGGUUGGCACCGCUAUGGUGACGUAGAGAUUGGUUUGAGAGAGGAGUGUUAGACUCUCUGGAUCGGCGUCGUAGAGCUUGACAUGACCGGCUUUGAUGAGUUUGAUGAAAUUGAUCGAUUGGUAAGGAGAUGGUAGGUUGUUUCCUUGUCUACCAUAGUUAAUACCAAUCUUGCUGGCUAACUCUAGCAUCGUUUUUUUCUGUAUAUACCUGUGCGGAUGUUGGAACCCAACCGCUGAGCAACUUGUACCUGUAAAAU
rnacentral:lncRNA from 1 species